ensembl:lncRNA
GGGAGAGACAAGCAAGUUUCUAGGUCAGUCAAGCAGCCUGGGAGCUGCUAAAUUUGAAUCCACCAAUCAGAGAGGCUGUGUACUUUUUCCCGCCAAAACAGGUGCAGCCGUUUUUACACACACAGAGCACAGAGACAGGAUUUCUGCAGUGUAUUUCUCAUAGUGAGGAUUCCUCUCAAACAAAUGGCCAUAAUUUCCUAACCGUAGGGGCUAGAACAGUCAUUCUUACACCGUUUUGUUCAGAAGAGAUGGGGGAAUCUCAAAGUGUUGACAAUUUAUCAUUAAAAUAUGAAUUAUUAAAGAUAUUUGACUUCUAAUGCACCAUAACUGAGUAGAGCAAAGCAAAAACUGCCUUGACUUGCCCUCAAACAACGCUUUCUAACUCUAAAUCUAUUUGGAGUAUCAAUAUCAUUCUUUCACCGUAAGAGACAGCAGGCUUUGGUGAACAAUCAUGGAAAUUUUCAGGUCUCUGUGGAAAUCCAUUAAAAAGAUAUGACGAGAGAAAAAAGUGGUUCAUUUCCAGAGUUUGAAAUCUGAAGAAAUCUGAGCGAAGGACGAAUUUCCUACCCUCAAACAAGUCUAACUCAUUUCAGAACGGUAAUAGGUGAGAAAGAAAUUCUUGAAUUGUGAGCGUCAGGAGUGUCUGAAGAUAUACUGGGACAAGCCUCAUGUUUUAACUUCGCUUCGUUAAGGAGAUAUGACGAUUCGAAUAUGCCUCUCAUUGCAGAAAUCAAG